rnacentral:rRNA from 1 species
AUUGAACGCUGGCGGCAGGCCUAACACAUGCAAGUCGAGCGAGCGGCGGACGGGUGAGUAAUGUAUGGGGACUGCCCGAUAGAGGGGGAUAACUACUGGGAACGGUAGCUAAUACCGCAUCCUAUCGGAUAACCCAGAGGGGAGUAGAUAGUAGGUGAGGUAAUGGCUCCCCUAGGCGACGAUCCCUAGCUGGUCUGAGAGGAUGAUCAGCAACUCUGGGACUGAGACAGGGCCCAUACUCCUACGGAGGCAGCAGUGGGGAAUUUUGGACAAUGGGGGAAACCCUGUUCCAGCCAUCCCGGGUGUAUGAAGAAGGCCCUAGGGUUGUAAAGUAUUUUCAGUCGGGAGGGGUUACAGACAGAAGAAGAACCGGCUAACUCCGGGCCAGAAGCGCGGUAAUUC